UAGAACCCUAGCCGUAUUCGUCCUCCUCUUCUUCAAUCGCCGUCCCUUUCGCCUACCCCAACCAAAUCACGUCCAUCCCUUUUGCAUUCUGGUUUCUGUACCUUUCUCAUUCUCGGCUCCUUCCAUUUCGUGUUAUCGCCUCCAUCAUUGAGUGGAUGCCUCACCAUAAGCUCAUAUUUUCUCUACGCCAUCAACAGAACAAAAAUUGAUAUCACCACAAGUAUCUUUCUACUACGUGGAAGCCUCAUUGUUGGUUCGCUGUUGUUCGUUCGAUGUUCUCUACAAGGUUUGUGAUUUGCGAACAUUUUUAUGGUAUGUGAAACAACGAUAUGGUGAAGGGCGUAGUAAGAGUUAGGUCAGGUUCACCGUGUUGGAAAUCGGUUAGGUUUCCGAACACUCUCGUCAGGUUAUAUAAUGUUAGUCGGUGGCAUUAAGGUUGUUGGCAUGUAUGUUUGGGUCAAUGAUAAUGCUUUCAAACAUUCAACCAUAACGUGUUUCCAGAACAGUUUCCUGAAACUGCAGCUUCUAUAACUUCAUUCAAAGUUGAUUCCGUCAUUGUUUCGCUCAAUAAUAGAGAACCGCUUCAAACUGUUGUUGAUAUAGGUGAAGAUGGUAAACCUCACGUUGUUGUUAUAAGAUCAAGUACUAACUCUGUGGUAUAUGGAUCUUUUAACAAAUCUCUUUUACACAAUGACUCCACAAGCUUCGAAUC